rnacentral:sRNA from 1 species
UUAUAAUGGCACUUCUCUAAUUCGACACAAUUGUAAUGGCAUGGAUCCAAUUAACCUUUUU